AGGCAGUGUCUUGUUAGCUGGCCGUUGCUGUGUGUGCCAGCCUACCUGCUGCUGCCCUC
rnacentral:pre_miRNA from 1 species